UCCCCUUUAUGAAGUGGACAUCUACUGGGU
rnacentral:piRNA from 1 species